UACAGGGGGUGCAAACGUUGCUCGGAAUUAUUGGGCGUAAAGCGCGCGUAGGCGGCUACUUAAGUCGGAUGUGAAAGCCCUUGGCUCAACUGAGGAAGUGCACCCGAAACUGAGUGGCUUGAGUACUAAAGAGGGUCGCGGAAUUCCCGGUGUAGAGGUGAAAUUCGUAGAUAUCGGGAGGAACACCAGUGGCGAAGGCGGCUCACUGGCCCGGUACUGACGCUGAGGUGCGAAAGCGUGGGGAGCAAACAGG
rnacentral:rRNA from 1 species